GGUGGUGCAGUGGAUUAGUGUGUCUUGUUGUUAAUCAGAAGGCUGGUGGUUCAAGCCCGCCCAGAGUCC